GGCGUUCGUCAGACAGGCUCUAUUGGCUCAGUGCUGCGGUUGUAUUAAGCAAAAGCAGUCGCAAAUUGAUGUGAUUCUUCGUAGUUUCAAUUUAGCAUCGUCAUGGUUAAUAAUUGUGUUAGUGGAGGUUUUACAAACUCCAGCCUGUCAGGACAAUGAGUCUACAGGUUUCUUUUGAAGAAUAAAGACCGCGCUAUCUUCCGUGUCUGGGUGUGUUUAGCGCAGCACGAGGAAAGAGACGAGAGACGCGACUUCACUUCAGCAUGUGCUUCAGAAAAACGCGGUGGUGUAUAGCGUUCACAUUUGAUCGGAGGAUUAUCAUCCCGGCAAUAUGAUGGAGUUAAACAUUGGAUGCCGAAGCAAGAACCACGUGAGGCCUGUGUUUUUGCCGCCGCGAGAAAACAUGAAUCGAUCACGGUCCGUCUGAGAUGCAGCUCGAAGAUAACGUGAACUAUGCACAUUGUCCAGCUACAGAUUAAGAUGCUUAGUAUGAUUAAUCAUCCUCUGUUGUCAUGGAUGAACCUGGUGAUGUGUUAUGGAGGAGGAAAAAAACAAAAAAGACUCAUCUGAUGAGAAACCACUGCAAGAAUCGCAUCCUGUUCACACAAGUCUGUGCAGCAUGCAUGUAUCAGCAUUUUUUGUGACCAGUGACUUCUCUUCUGAGGGGCGUGAAUUCCAAAUAUGUGUUUGUUGUGACGUGUGUGAACCAUGUGCAUCAUGCCUCUUGUCACAAUACGUGCCUGCUGCACACGCGUUGAAAAGGUUUAUGAUAAAAGAAGCACUCAUGUUCACAAAAUACUCGCAAGACACUAACUUGACACUAAACUGUGAUUACACAGGAGAUUAAGUGAGUAUCAGGCAAACGUGAGCGUAUCUUUUAUCAUAAACCCUUUACAUGCGUGUGCAGCAGAUUUUGACAUCACGUGUGAUGCACAUAAGUUUACAUGACGCGCUGAACACAUAUUUUGAAAUGACAAGCAACACACAUGACGAGCUCAAUGCAUGUGACCAGCUUCGCAACGUGUGCCCUCGAAAAAAGUCACCGGCCGACACUGACCCAGAUCAUCAAGAUGUUAAAGCUGUUUGGGCUUCAGAGCAUCUUGUCAGCACCUUCUUCCACCAUGUACACAAUUUCUACCAUCGUGAAGGCGUGGCAGAAUGAGAGAUUUGCGGUCACCACAGGCUCUACGAGAAUGCAGCACUGUCCUGUCUUCCACUACACCUGCUCCCCUCUCCAGUUUCAUCCAGAGAAUCAACAAGGAUGAGGCUGUUGGGAUCUAUUAAUCACAGCAUUCACAAUUUAACACAUUAUUAUAA